rnacentral:rRNA from 1 species
GACGAACGCUGGCGGCGUGCUUAACACAUGCAAGUCGAACGGAGCGAAUGAAAGCUUGCUUUUAUGAGCUUAGUGGCAAACGGGUGAGUAACACGUAGGCAACCUGCCGACAGGAUGGGGACAACAUUCCGAAAGGAAUGCUAAUACCGAAUGAAGUCAGAGAAGGGCAUCCUUUUCUGAUGAAAGAUGGCCUCUAUUUAUAAGCUAUCACCUGUCGAUGGGCCUGCGUCUGAUUAGCUGGUUGGUGAGGUAACGGCUCACCAAGGCGACGAUCAGUAGCCGGUCUGAGAGGAUGAACGGCCACAUUGGGACUGAGACACGGCCCAGACUCCUACGGGAGGCAGCAGUGGGGAAUCUUCCGCAAUGGGCGCAAGCCUGACGGAGCAACGCCGCGUGAGUGAAGAAGGUCUUCGGAUCGUAAAGCUCUGUUGACGGGGACGAACGUGCGGAGUGCGAAUAGCGCUUU